GCAAUUUUAUCUCGUACUGGACGUGACAAACAUGACAAAUCACGAAAAGGAAUUGCACUAUACGCAAAAUAAAUGUAUAUACAUGGAAGGUAAAGAACCAUGUAGAAUUCCUGUUCCAGUUGACCGAUGUCCACUUAAUAAAUUAUCUAUGUUAAAUGGUGCUGGUGAUGCAAGUGAACUCCAAAAAGUAUAUGCUGAACAUAUAGCUUCGUUGGUUGAUCUACGCUGGCAAUUACUAGGUACCGAGUCAACGGGAAAAGCAACUAUAUGGGCCGGUCUCACAGUCUCCGAUUAACGUGAUUCUCCGAUUAAACUCACUCUGAAUUUCUUUCUAACUAUCCCCCUAGAAAGAGACGAAGAGUGAGUUUAAUCGAAGAAUCUAGGGAGAAUCACGUUAAUCGGAGACUGUGAGACCGGCCCUAUCCGGCAUUACUUUAACUCAGGAUAUGUUAUAUCUGGUCAGAAUGAGUCCUCUACAGUGAGAAAUAACUAUCAACGAUAUUAUUGUAAAAGCACAAGAAGAACUGUCGUGUGCUUUGGGCGAAUGCAUAAGUGUUGGUGUGGGAGUGUGCAAUGCUCUGGAGCAUCCGCUGAGUGAUCUUACAUUGUCCAUUAAUUUCUAUCAGGACCAUCAUAAUGGAGUGAAUAAUUAUCAGUUGGAAACAAGAUUAUCCAGCUGGAGCAAAUAAGGUCAUGCUGCCUACUGUGUGUCACAACUUUAAUAAAUACAAUUUAUUAAUAUUA